CCUACAACCUCUCUGUUUUCUAACAUACACUGGCACGCCAAAACUCGAUCCUCCCACCGCCACCGCCACCAUGGAUCACUGCCACUGCAUCGAUUUCUCUUUGCCUCUCCAUCGUCGCUCAAUCCAGCCCAUCAUAUUUUAUUUUGAGGCACAAAGGAGCCUGCACAGGCCUUGAGAGAAAAAACAACCCUUGGUUAUAUUGAUGCUGGUGUUGCUUCAACAUGAAGUCAUAAUACAUGGAGAGUGGUAAGGAGGAAGAUAAGUAGGGAAUGUGAUGCUGUGUUGUUGAUUUAAUCAGGGUGAGAUGUAUUUGUUGGCCUUAUUUUCUCAAUGUCAUUUUUUGUGUGAUGUAAAAACAUGACUGUCAUUUUUUUAUGCUUUUUCAAUUGAACCAGAAUGGAUUUUUUUCUCCAACUUAAAUGAAUG